rnacentral:rRNA from 1 species
CCGAUUUAACGCUCCCGAUGGUGUCGGCAAGAUAACCAAACUUGAUUAUUUAGAGGAACCAAAAGUCGUAAUAAGGUUUUCGUAGGGGAACCUACGAAAGAA